UCUCGAUAGCGUAAAAGUUAACUCAAAUUUGUAUGGAGUUGGAACGUUUGGCUACGUUUAUCGUUAGGGGCGCUGUUCCUACUGCAUACAAAAUUGAGUUAACUUUACGCGAUGAG
rnacentral:pre_miRNA from 9 species